UACGUAGGGUGCAAGCGUUAAUCGGAAUUACUGGGCGUAAAGCGUGCGCAGGCGGUUUUGUAAGUCAGAUGUGAAAUGCCCGGGCUUAACCUGGGAACUGCAUUUGUGACUGCAUGGCUAGAGUUUGGCAGAGGGGGGUAGAAUUCCACGUGUAGCAGUGAAAUGCGUAGAUAUGUGGAGGAACACCGAUGGCGAAGGCAGCCCCCUGGGUCAAGACUGACGCUCAUGCACGAAAGCGUGGGGAGCAAACAGG
rnacentral:rRNA from 1 species